AAUUACUGGCGGUCAGUCUGCGUCCGUUCUAUCUGCCCCGGGAGUGUUCACAUGUAAUAGCCAUUACUGUGUACAUCCCUCCCUCAGCUGAUGCGGCUGCAGCCUGUGAACUCAUCCACAGUGAAGCGUCCCAGCUGCAAACAUCACACCCUCAGUCUCUUAUUAUCAUCUCAGGAGACUUUAAUCAUGCAUCGCUCUCUGCCACUCUCCCCACGUUCACCCAGUAUGUGACCUGCCAUACCAGAGACAGUAAAACCCUGGAUCUGCUGUAUGCAAACAUCAAGGAUGCAUACAGCUCCUCCCCCCUCCCCCUGCUGGGCCGCUCAGAUCACAACCUGGUGAGACUGCAGCCCAUUUACAUACCUAUGGUGAAGAAACAACCCCCCCACCAUCAGGUAUGUGAAGAAGUGGUCUGACGAGCCCACUGAGGCGCUGCAGGACUGCUUUGAGACCACAGACUGGGAUGUACUGUGUGGUCCACAUGGGGAGGACAUUGAUUCACUGACUGACACCUACAUUAACUUCUGUGCACAGAACAUCGUACCGACCAGGAAAGUACAGUAUUUCUCUAACAGCAAACCCUGGGUGUCCCUGGAACUGAAGGAGGAGGGUUUUUGGAUCUGGGGACAAAGAGGAGCUGAGGAGGGCGCAGAAGGAGAUAAAGAAGAAGAUCAAGGCGGACAAGGCCAGCUACAGGACCAAGAUGGAAUCUCACCUGCAGGAAAAUAACACAAGGGGGGUCUGGAGAGACCUGAGAUCCAUCUCUGGUUACAGCAGAGGCCAUGAGAGGGGAGCUGCAGCAGGAGGCCAGAUUGAAUCUGUUCUUUAACAGAUUUGACUCUGCUCCCACUCCUCCCCCCUCUCAUCAAAGCACCGAUCAGCCAGCUCCUUCUUCACACCUCAGCUCUCUACCACCAACACCACCAACAGCACCCCUCCUCCGAUCCCCGUCUUCUACCACCUGCGGACUCCACAUAAGCCGCGAUUCCACAAGCAUCUACUCGGCGCGGUACGGUUCGCCACUAUUGUAUUUGACUCGGCUCGUCUCGUCUCGGUUUAGUUGUUUUUCCAUAUAGCCUCAUCGUGGGUGGAGUCGUCAUAGCACAGCGAGCCGAAAGUCCCUUAACGUCAUUUGCGUGCGACACAAACGCAACAUAACAGAGGCGAUGGUACACCUGCUGCUCGGUCUGUGGCUUUCUGUCAGAUUCAAAAUAAUAGAAGAGUCGGAGAAAGCUGAGAGCGGCGAGUCGAAACACUCAGGAGACACACAAGAGAGUUUGGGAGGCGAUGCAGCAGUAUCAAGCUGAAGACAAGAGGAUAUGAACUAGACGACAUAUGAGGAUGGCUCUCUUAUGAGCCUUCAUAGGAUUUACCUGAAGCAGCAGCACAUGAACCUGCAGUGGCACAAGGUGUAGAGGAGGAGGGCAGAAAUGUACAGGAUGCACUGAUGCAGUACGUGUCAUGCAAAAGUUAUUCUUCUCGUUAUACUUCUGUUUUCCUGUCCCCGGACCGCUAUUGUUUUCUUUAACGCAAUUCUGACAAUAAACUUUUGUACCUUUUGCAGAUGUGUCUAUGCUAGUGUUUUAUUUGUGAAGGUUAGCAAGAUUACAUGACAAAUUAAACACCAAAACAUUAAAACAGCUGUUUUAAGAAUAUUCCAGUUUGAUAAAUCAGUAUUACUUUGGUGUAAUUCAGUCAACGGAAUUAUGAACCAUUAAGGAGUUUGUGUUAAAACAUGUUAAAUCCCAUUAAACAUAAAUGCAUUAUCAGGGAAUACAGAAUUGUUUGGUUGAGACUGUUGACUCUUUUCCUACCAGUGUCUUAACAGACAAAAUGAAAAGUUAUGAUGCAGUCACAUAAGUCACAAAAUAGUUAAUUAGUCAGCAGCAAAAUCAAAACUAUUUACAAUGUGCAAAAUACAAACUGUGGUGGGCCUCUCCUACAGUGGAGGGCUAAAAGUAAAACUAUAUACAACUAAAUCUCAAGUCUCUGGGAGGUGGACUCGCUGGCUGCCCACUGCCUGCACCAGCUGCCCCAGCACACCCAGGAAUGACUGGUUGAAGGCAGCAUUCUGGGCCAUCUCCUGCACCGCAAGGCCGCUUCAUUCUCUCUUGCCUCGCUGAGGAGCAACUGGAUGUUCUCAUCAUGCUGGGCAUGACUCCACUCCUCCUCAGCCUGCAUCUCCACAAGUAUGCUUGGAAGGUCCAAUUUUCUGUUGCCCCUUUUCUUCUUGCC
ensembl:lncRNA